UCAGAACGAACGCUGGCGGCGGGCCUAACACAUGCAAGUCGAACGAGAAAGCUCUUCGGAGUGAGUACAGUGGCGCACGGGUGAGUAACACGUAGGUGACCUGCCGAAUAGUGGGGGAUAACACAAAGAAAUUUGUGCUAAUACCGCAUGAGCUAAACGAAAUUGAAAAAGGAAAGAAUGCCUCUGCAUAUGCAUUUGCUAUUUGAUGGGCCUGCGAGACAUUAGCUUGAUGGUGGGGUAAUGGCCUACCAUGGCUACGAUGUCUAGCGGAUCUGAGAGGAUGAUCCGCCACACUGGAACUGAGACACGGUCCAGACUCCUACGGGAGGCAGCAGUGGGGAAUAUUGCGCAAUGGGGGAAACCCUUACGCAGCCACGCCACGUGAGUGAGGAAGGCCUUCGGGUUGUAAAGCUCUGUCAGUGUGGAAAAAGGGCGUAGGGUCCAAUAGGCCUUACGUUUGAUGGUACACAUAAAGGAAGCACCGGCUAACUUCGUGCCAGCAGCCGCGGUAAUACGAAGGGUGCAAGCGUUGUUCGGAUUUAUUGGGCGUAAAGCGCGCGCAGGCGGAUGGAUAAGUCAGGUGUGAAAUCUCGGGGCUCAACCCCGAAACUGCGCCUGAAACUAUUUAUCUAGAGUCUCGGAGAGGGAAGGGGAAUUUCAUGUGUAGGGGUAAAAUCCGUAGAGAUAUGAAGGAACACCAGAGGCGAAGGCGCCUUCCUGGACGAGUACUGACGCUGAGGCGCGAAAGCGUGGGGAGCAAACAGGAUUAGAUACCCUGGUAGUCCACGCCGUAAACGAUGGGCACUAGGUGUCGGUGGUAUUAAUCCCGCCGGUGCUGGCGCUAACGCAGUAAGUGCCCCGCCUGGGGAGUACGGUCGCAAGGCUGAAACUCAAAGAAAUUGACGGGGGCCCGCACAAGCGGUGGAGCAUGUGGUUUAAUUCGACGCAACGCGAAGAACCUUACCUGGACUUGACAUCUUGAGAAUCCCUUGGAAACGAGGGAGUGCCCUUCGGGGAAUUCAGUGACAGGCGCUGCAUGGCUGUCGUCAGCUCGUGUCGUGAGAUGUUGGGUUAAGUCUCGCAACGAGCGCAACCCCUAUCCUUAGUUGCCAGCAUUAAGUUGGGCACUCUAAAGAGACUGCCUGGGCUAACCGGGAGGAAGGUGGGGACGACGUCAAGUCCUCAUGGCCCUUAUGCCUAGGGCUACACACGUAAUACAAUGGUUGAUACAGAGGGACGCGAACUCGCGAGGGGGAGCAAAUCUCAAAAAGUCAAUCUCAGUCCGGAUUGGAGUCUGCAACUCGACUCCAUGAAGUUGGAAUCGCUAGUAAUCGUGGAUCAGCACGCCACGGUGAAUACGUUCCCGGGCCUUGUACACACCGCCCGUCACACCAUGGGAGUUGUUCUUACCUGAAGUCGUGGCCCUAACUUUUAGGAGGGGAGCGCCUACGGUCGAACUGAUGACUGGGGUG
rnacentral:rRNA from 1 species